GAAAUAAUUAUUUAUGAAGUUACUGGGUGGUUAGAAAUAAGUUUUACAAUAUUUUUCGCAGAAUAAAUAACUCAUAUUUCAGAAAUUUAUAGUUUUUGUUCUAACAUAUUAUAUGCUCAUGCACAUCUUGUGACUUGUUCUUCAUUUUCAUCAUUUUAAGUCCCUGUACACAGUCUCCAAAAACGUCAAAUAAAGAAAACUUGAACCCCAGAGAUAUGCCGUCCAUUAUGACUAGUGAAAAUGAAAUUAUGAAUCGCCUCAAUACUACUGAAGGUAUUAUGAAGGAUAUUUUGAGACGAUUGCAAAAUAUUGUGCAUUUGUGUGAGACGGCACAAAAUGUGCCAGAAACAGAUCAAAAUAUUACAGAAUCGAGAUUCGAGUUAGAAAUCCUCGAAAAUCUGGAGCAACUUCAAUAAUUUGAGCGAAAGCUUCAGGACAUCCAG